UACGAAGGGGGCGAGCGUUGUUCGGAAUUACUGGGCGUAAAGCGUGCGUAGACGGUCAUGUAAGUCGGAUGUGAAAGCCCCGGGCUCAACCUGGGAAUUGCAUUCGAGACUGCAUGGCUUGGGUGCGGAAGAGGGAAGCGGAAUUUCCGGUGUAGCGGUGAAAUGCGUAGAUAUCGGAAGGAACACCAGUGGCGAAAGCGGCUUCCUGGUCCGACACCGACGUUCAGGCACGAAAGCGUGGGGAGCAAACAGG
rnacentral:rRNA from 1 species